GGCCCUAUCGUCUAACGGUUUAGGACACCACCCUCUCACGGUGGAAAUCGGGGUUCGAUUCCCCGUAGGGUCA
rnacentral:tRNA from 1 species